ensembl:misc_RNA Metazoa_SRP Metazoan signal recognition particle RNA
GCCGGGUAUGGUGGUGUGUGCCUGUAGUCCCAGCUACUUGGGAGGCUGAGGCGGGAGGAUUGCUUGAGCCUAGGAGUUCGAGGCUGCAGUGAGCUGAGAUCAGGCCAAUACACUCCAGUCUAGGCAACAGAGUGAGAUCUUGUCUCAA